GACGAACGCUGGCGGCGUGCUUAACACAUGCAAGUCGAACGAGUGGCGAACGGGUGAGUAAUACGUGUGUAACCUGCCCUUUUUUUGGGAUACGCCUUGGAAACGGGGUCUAUUACCCAAUAUAGGGGGAUGGGCUCGCGGCCUAUUAGCUGGUUGGUGGGGUGAUGCCCUACCAAGGCGGUGCCGGGUAGCCGGCCUGAGAGGGUGACUGGCAACAUUGGAACUGGGAUACGGCCCAGACGACGACGGGAGGAAGCAGUGGGGGAUAUGGAACAAUGGGCGAAAGCCUGAUGCAGCGACGCCGAGUGGGGGAUGAAGGCUUUGGAGUUGUAAACCUCUUUCGCUAUCGAAAGGGUAGGUGGAGAAGAAGCGCCGGCUAACUACGUGCCAGCAGCCGCGGUAAUAC
rnacentral:rRNA from 1 species